UGAAAGGGGAAGAGCCCAGCGCUGAAUCUCUCGGUCUUGGGCCGCUGAGAACUGUAGCGUAUAGGUGUGACUGUCCUGCUAUAUUGCAUUUCCGAAGUCUCUUUGAUAGGGGCCAACAUCCAGAGAGGGUGCGAGACCUGUACGGAAAGUAGUAUAGUUGGUAUGGUUACUCCUUGGAGUCGGGUUGCUUGAAAGUGCAGCCUAAAGUUGGUGAUAAACUUCAUCUAAGGCUAAAUAUCGACGCGAAAUCGAUAGCAAACAAGUACCGUGAGGGAAAGUUGCAAAGAACUUUGAAGAGAGAGUUCAAGAGAACGUGAAAUCGCUGAAGUGGAACCGGAGAGAGUUAACAUAACUUGGUAGCUAUAUCCUCUAAAGUCGCUUAACUGUGGCUCUGGGGGGUGGACGCUACCUGUUGUUGCACUGACUGCGUUGAUUGUGCUUUCCGAACAGUAUAGUGUUGCCCACUUUGUGGUGUCUUGCUUUCUGGGAGGUUUGUCAUAAUUAACGUAAAGCCAAUUCCCUUUGGAGUCAGUGUGAAAGUUAACCACCUUUCCGACCCGUCUUGAAACACGGACCGAGGAGUGUAAUUUAUACGCGAGUCAAGGGGUGGUGAAAACCCUAGGGGCGGAAUGAAAGUAAAGGCCGGUUAACCGGUUGACAUGGGAUCCGCUCUUCGGAGCGGCGCACCAUGGCCCUGUCUUGUCUGCUUGCAGAUGGGCAGCGGUAGAGCGUAUAGUUUGCGACCCGAAAGAUGGUGAACUAUGCUUGAGCAGGACGAAGCCAGAGGAAACUCUGGUGGAAGUCCGUAUCGGUUCUGACGUGCAAAUCGAUCGAUAGACUUGGGUAUAGGGGCGAAAGACUAAUCGAACCGUCUAGUAGCUGGUUCCCUCCGAA
rnacentral:rRNA from 1 species